UAAGACGAACCGUCCUAACGUUGUUCGGAUUCACUGGGCUUAAAGGGCGCGUAGGCGGGCAGCUAAGUCCGGGGUGAAAGCCCCCAGCUCAACUGGGGAAGUGCCUUGGAAACUGACUGUCUCGAGGGGGGUAGGGGCCUGUGGAACUUCGGGUGGAGCGGUGAAAUGCGUUGAUAUCCGAAGGAACGCCGGUGGCGAAAGCGACGGGCUGGACCCCUUCUGACGCUGAGGCGCGAAAGCCAGGGGAGCAAACGGGAUUAGAUACCCCGGUAGUCCUGGCCCUAAACGAUGAGGACUAGGUUGCGGACUUUGACAUGGGUUCGCAGCCGAAGCAAAAGUGGUAAGUCCUCCGCCUGGGGAGUAUGGUCGCAAGGCUG
rnacentral:rRNA from 1 species